rnacentral:tRNA from 1 species
GAGGGUAUAGCUCAACUGGUAGAGUGCAUUUUUAGCAUGCAUGAGGUUCUGGGUUCAAUCCCCAGCACCUCCA